UCAGACACAAGCAUUGCCACAGCCACCGCUCUCGAGGCUCCUUUUUUCCUCCUUGCCCGUUUUUUCCUCGCUGCCCAUUAUCCACUCGGAUUACACGGUUGUGAGCACGAACAGGACUCUGAAACUUCUGCGUCGCGAUCUUCAAAACUCGAAAGGGCUACGUAUUCGACCGGUUGUCGCAAAAGAGAGAAAGAGAGAGAGAGAGAGAGAGAGGGAGAGAGAGAAAGGAAACGGGAUGUUCGAUAGGCUCGUGUCGAGUGUCGCCAAGUUUUACGUUCACUGUCGGCCAUCGAAACUCCGACAAAUUGAGCGGUCCGUCCAGCGUGACAGCUUAAUUCCUGACCGGCAUCCUUCGCGACUAUCAAUUAGUAGAUCGCCGCUUGUCGAUUCGAACGAACCUCUCUUCCGCCUACCUACGAAAGGGGAAUUUUAAUAGGAGAACUCAACGCUAACACACAUCGCUAGGGGUGUCCCUAAGUGUACGCACAAACACGUUUACGAAGGACUUCAUAAUCGACUGAGAUCGAUCGAUCGAAUCGAAAUACUAGCUCGACGGAUAUAUGCACGCGUCCUUUCUCUCUCUCUCUCUCUCUCUCUCUCUUUCUCUCUCUGUGCAUCGGCGACCCCUCUUUGCUACCGCCCAAUCGCCGACGGAGGAAGCGAUUAUGGACUACAUCCUGGAACGUAUCUACACCGUAUGAACGUAUGUACGUAUGUUGUACGUUCGAUGCGAUGCGAUGCGAUGCGAUGCUGAAUCGACCGUCCUGACAUCCUCGUGAUGUCCACCCUAGAGAGAAAACCAUAGGGGGGCUGAUAGGAAGCUGGACGAUCAUGGGAAAUCGAUUGGAAAUUUAAUUUUCUUAGUCUUUUAACGUAUCCUUGUUUUUCAAUGAGUCUCGAUAAUGACAGAAGAAAGAAGUGAAUCUUAAUUAUCAUAAAUGAUUUCAGAGAGAUCGAUGAAUAUGCAAUUUAACGUCAGUCAAAUCUGAAGCAUUCUACCUUAGUUAGAAAACAGCUGAGACAGCUGUGCAAUCAAAACUUAUCGACUCAUACACCUAUUCCGUAUACCAGUUAAAAAAAAAAAACUUUAACAUCCAUUAAUAGCUUCGUGCACGUGCCAACGAUGAACGUCGGACAUAGUUUUCCAGUUGGCCAAGUGGAAGCCGAACUUGUCCAUUCCUCAUUUUGGUCUGUUCACUAAGAUCAUCUUACUUUCAAUAUCCUUUUUUAAAGAUCGAACGUCAUACUACGCAGGAUUAUUCUCUGUAAUCGAAUUAAGGCUAUAUCCAGUAUGAUAUUCGAUCGGAUCGAAAAGAGAAACUUGUGGGAAAGAAUACUCCAGGCAUUAUUGGAAAAGUAAUCCGUAUUUGUUCUCAUCCAUCAGAACUGAUAUGAUGUUACAGCUGGAUAUAUGAAAAAAAAAAAAAAACAAAAAAAAAACAAAAAAAAAAAAAAACAAAAAAACAAAAAGAAAAAAAACAGAAGAAAAAAAAUCGCAAGAAAGAAUCUGAAAUAAAACUCAUAGCAGAAAAUCAACACCAUUUUACGUAUAGGUUUUCGUUCUCUUAUAAUUUCAUUCGUACAAUCAAUUUCCCACGGAAAAAGAGAGACAGAUGUAUAUACAAUGGGAAGCUAUUUACAUAGGCACUGACACGUAACGAUGUUCCACGCAUUUGUCGAUCGAACGCGUUUAAAACGAGAAGAGAGACAUAUUGUGGCAUAAAGAUUACGAUAUCGAUAAGCGUAGAAAGAAUGUAUCUACUAGCUCAUUAUCAUUGGCACAUAGAUACAUUGCUAUAAGUUAUAAAAUUCUAAGUUGGGAAAAGAGAAAGCGAGCGGGUAAACGUUCCUUUGACACUUGGAAAGGGAAAACAUUUUGUAGUUGGGCUCUUUCGGAGACGCACGCGUCGCAUUCCAAUCCGCUGUCGUCCCAAAUUCCCUCGAAUCGUUUUGUAGAACCUAUCUCCUUGCCUUUUCUCGGUCAAACUGAUAUUUGUCGAUCGAGAAGAAAAAAGUAGAGGGUAAGGACAGAGAAGUGAUAUUUUUCAUUUCGUUUCGUUCGCUCGUUCAAAAGGGCUUCCUUCCUUAUCUCUCAGCGUGACCGCGUCCACUUAAGAACUUACACGGACGAAUCACCGGAAUUUACUGUCUUUUAGCACGCAUAUCGUGGAUUUUAAGAGCGGUGAAAUGUUUCAUAAAUUUCACUCACCUCGCCGCUGAGAUAAGCGUAAUGUUUUUUGGAAAAGUGAUCGGUAAGGGUAAGCUUUUCGAUUCGUUUCAAUUCGAAUUUGCGUCCUUAGAUAUUUUUUAUAAUUUUCACCUAUUCGAUUUAUACGAUCUUCGUGGGAAGUCCUCGUUUCUCAGGCAAACGGAAUUUCAUAAAGAACAAGAAAUAGAAAUAUAACCCAUUCGAUGGUGCAUUUCGAUGUUCAAUAUUUCUCAAAUUGCGUCUCAUAUGAAGUACCCAUCUUCAUAAAGACAAGUGAAAUGGGAGAACCUUAUGAGACACUCGUUCGAAUCCAUAAUGUCCAAGUAUUUAUUAAAAUUUAAUUGUGAAAGGAAUAAGAAAUGAACGUUGAGAGUCACGGUGAUGCGAUCGUGUAUCGAGGGGUGAAGUUUCUAUCGUUGUGGUUAAAAAGUCAUCACGGCCGAUGCCCUCUUCACGGCACGUUGGUCAUCGUUGGGGUGCGGUAGGAGUCGCAUUAUGUCGCGUUUCCGCCAGGAAACAGGCGCAGUCGGGACAUCGACAGUCUCCACCUCAUUUCCGAGCCACUCCGAGCUAGGAUCCGAGUUCUAUGGACCGCGUAGGCGAAUCUCCAAGAAACUAACCACGAUACAACUCCUUUUUGUUCCUUCCGCUCGAGAUGUAAUCUGCGGAAAUCAUCUCCAACCAGUUUCGUACAAGUUAUUGUAUUUUAUUUUUUUUUGCCACUUCUGCCAGUAAUUAAACGCUGACUUCAGCUUUCUUUUUCAACGAUAACCUUGACGCGUUAAGGAAGUUGUCAUUUAAUCGUACUACUUUGUUAUCAUUCUGCUUCAUUGAAAAAUUUUUUCUCCUGAAUCCUUUAUUUCGAAUCGUACCUGCAUACAUGUCGUUUCAUUACUUUUUUCUAUAAACUCGCAGCAAAAUACAUACAUAAGUAUCAAUCAAACAGAUCGUCUAAUGUUUUCAACCCUUUAGCUUUCAACUCGUUACACGUUUAUCUGUCAGUUUAUAAAGACUACUACGUUUGGCCGACUCCUCCGCGAAUGGGUCAAUCGAUCGUAGCUAAAUUCCGCAUUAAGGUGUUCUCCCUCUCGCAUUUAUUCCGUCCGCAACUAUUUCAAGAGAUGUUUGAUGAGAUUUCGUAUCACGCUAAAGAAAGUCUAACCAAUUUAGACGAACCCAAUUGAUUUAAUUUCAACGCGGAAAAUGAUGAUUCCAAUUCGAACGCCAAACACAUUUCCGAAAUAACGAAUGUGCAUACUUAAUCUUUGUUCCCAUUAACUAUUUUGACGUACGACUCAUACUGCGGAAACGAUAACAGACAACCCGACGUCGAUUCUAUUUCGAGAAAAUCGAUCUGAAACGUGGAAAAUCAAAUAAACUCUCACAGUAUGUUUGUACGAAAGGCAAGCUGGCGUUGUAUGUAAAAAUGUGUUGUCGCAAAAAAAAAAAAAAAAAAAAAAAAAGAAAAAAAAAAGCAAAUACAAAAAAAGAAAAUAAAAAUGAAUGAAAUAUAAAUGCGUUGGGACAGUGUAAAGAGAAUUAUCAUCGGAAAUACCGAAUUCCGGCAUCAGCAGUUGCAACAUUUUUCUCGGUUACGUCGAUGAGAUAAAUCACGAUAGGUGAAAAAAAUGAAAAAUCGUCGAUUUUCCAAUAAAUCGUGACUCUAACGAAUAGAUCGAUCGAUCCAAUCGCUAAUUCAAACCUUUACAAUUCGUUACGUUUGUUCCUGGUGAGCAAAGAUAAAAGGGCUUCGAACUCAAGACAAUUAUUUCGGGGAUUCGAACGAUAACGAGCAUUGAUAGUCUAUCGAUUUUUUGCUCGAACAAAAAGAAGAGAGAGAGAGAGAGAAAGAGAGAGAGAGAUACAAAAAUGAAAGAACGGAUAAGAGAGUAAGAGAAGGGUGAAGGGACAAGCGUGGGUCGACGGACACGUUCCACAGCUCUAAAACAACCUCUCAUUUCGGGGGCGAAUCGGAAUCCAGCCCUGCGAAUGUGUCUGCACGUGCAGUCUCUCUCUCUCUCUCUCUCUCUCUCUCUCUCUCUCUCUCCCUCUCUUUCGUAGGAAAGAGAGAGGGCUGCACGUUUUGCGCGAGGGAGGAGGGCAGUCAAUGCGCAGUUUGUAUUCCGCUCGGCAGAAAAGACUCGUUCGUUACCGUAUACCUCCCGACGCACUCGGCAAAACUCGUCGUCGUCUCUUGCUCUCAUACUACUGUCACCCUCUCUUUCUCUCUUGUUUUCUCUCAUCGUGGGCCAGCUUCCCCUUCUCUAGUCGCACCAAACUCGUGACUUUGUAUUCAUGACGAUAUGCCGACGAAAGAUAUGCGUUCAACGCGACGUAUUAAUUUUCCAUUAAUGGAAAUCGCAAAACGUUUUCCACACGAAUCUCCAGCCAUGCUCUUGGAAGGAAGGACCAAGCGAUGCCCCUUUGAAUACCACGAAAGAACCAUCAGUUGUCUUCAAAACCAGAUAUUCAUUGCCGCAUGACAAAUCUCGAUAGAAAUUUUCUCUUUUCUUCGUGAACAUAAUGGAUACCUUUAAGCCUUUCAUUAUCCUCUAUCUUGAUGUUAUCUUAAGUGCUACCGUAAUGACAGUUUCGAAAAUAUUAACGAGUCAUUGUUAUCCGCCUACAAAAAGAGCCCCUUUUCAAGUUUAUACUACUUAUUACUUUGCAAGCGCAAGGAAACGAUCGAGGGAGGAAAACAUGAAAGGAACAGCGUACAGGUGGUAGAUGGUAGGGUGGGAUAAGGAAAAGGACUGAAAGUUAAUGGUCAGUGGCCUUGGUCGCUCCGACUCGAUUCCUCGCUCGUACCAAGAACUACGAGAAGCCUCUCGAAUAAUGGGUCAAGCGAAUUUAGAAAGAAGAGAAAUCCUUUAAAGUCAACGAGCCAUAAAACGCGAGUGAAUAUCUCGUGCGUCGUUCUACCAAGGGGAUUAUGGAUCUCAAGACGGGGAGAAUGAACGGAUUGACAACUUAAUAUGCUCGAGAAGUAACAAGAGAUGCCUGAAGAAGGUUCAUGUUGGUCAAAAGGGAAGAAGGAAGAAGAGGAAAAAGAAGAAAGGCAGCGAUGACGUUCGAGUUGCAACAGCUGUUGCAAGGAAUAACUAUGUUAUUACAUGACGCGAGCCACUUAAUCUAGAACGCCUCCCUAUAUUGCCUUCGUUUCUCGUGACUAGAGAAGGUGUUUAAAGCGGGUGUCUUGCACUUUUCUACCCAUAUUUUUUCCCAGAAAGAUUUUUUCACCACAUUCAUAUCAACACAUCUCGAGGAUAGUUGAGAUAAAAGGAGAUCAAAGAAAGAAGAGAAAAAGAGUAGAUUUAUUUUCUCGCGGGAUACUAACAGAGAACGAACGAACGAUUGUUUAUUUUCGUGCGAACGAUAUAGUGAAACGAUGUCGGCUAAUACUGGGGUGACAAGACAAGUGGGUACUUCCCUCUCCGUACGACCGGUCGGAUGAAGAAGCAACGAGGGGUCUUGUCACCGUCGCGUUAUUGGCUAGACAAGGAGCGUAUACCCUCUCUUUCUCUUUAUUUCUCUCUUCAGACUUGCCUCCUAGAUGGACAGGAGAUGAAACUCUGCAAGAUGAUAUACCUCGUAAACCGGUUCGUCUUAAGCUUAAGUAAUGACCGAAGAUGUAACGAUAGGCUCUUACUUGAUUUUUACAAGAGGGCAACUAUAAAGCAACGAAGUUCUCUUUCUCUUUUUCGCUUUCUCUCUCUUCCCUCUCCCUCCUCUCUCUCUCUCCUCUCUCACUCUCUUUUUCUCUCUAGCUGCUAUGGUUAUUAUCGUUGAUCGCGUGUCUCUCCGCUUCAGGAAUUUAUUCUUUCUUGAUCGAUUUCUUCCGAUAAAAGAUUCGAGCAUAUAAUUAAUUAACGAGACAAUUUAUAUGAUUUUAAAUAUUAUAAAUGUAAAUAUAUUUAUUUUUUCGAUUCCGUUACUCGCCGCCUCUUUCCCUUGAGAUUUUCACUUUGAGAAAAAGUAAUGCUAUCGUUGACGUACAUAACGCAAAGAAAAUAAAACGAAACGGUCACGUUUGAAAGACUCGCAUAACUUUUCUUUUUCUUUUUUUAAGCUUCGUUUGGAAGGAAAAAUAGAAAGAAGAAUUUGUCUGAUAUGAAAAAAAAAAAAAAAAAGAAAAAAAGAAAAUAAUAAAAAAAUGAGAGAGAAAGAAAGGUUCUUUGGAGAGUCUUGAAGGCUGCUCCAGGCUCGUUUUAUCCGCAAACCUUCAAGUAAAGGCCUCGGGCAAGAACGCGAAACGUCACUACAGUUGCUUUUGCUUAUGCCAGCGUAAGCAUAAGAGUAAGACUAGAAGGAGAACGAAAGAGAAUAAAGAGAGGACAACGUAUCAACUUAUGACAACUCGAUGAUAGUAUCUACUCUUGGAAAGCUUGGUAUAUGAAAAGGAAGAGAACCCUUAUGUGUAUUCUUUCGUUGCUUUUAGAGACAGAAAAUAAACGAAGAAGACACGAACUACUACGGAAAGAAAAACGAAGAAGGGAACAUUGAAAAGUACCUAUAUCUUCCUAUGGGAUACACUGGUAUUACCGUGCAAGUUUGAGUAUUUGGUAUUUGGUGAAAGAAAACCAAGGUAGCAAAAGCACCCGAUACACUUGGUAAAGGAAACGAAGAGAGUUAAAUAAAUAGCGAAACGGCGAAGCAGAGAGUCCUCUUACAUGGCAGGCAAGAGUCUAAAGAGAUGUUGCUGGUGAAGCUUGGUGGGUAGAAACUAUUGCUUGAAGAAAUUGCGUUUGUUGUCCUGCGAUGGGCAGACUUCUUCUCUAAGUCGAAGACUUUGUUCGUUAUUCGGGUCAAGUGUCAUCGAAUCACGACAGGGCUAUGGUUCUUGCGUAAACAUUCGUAUGAGGUAUCGUGUUUCUUCUUGAUGGUAAUAUCGAGCUGGCCCGCAAAGCAAUGAUCAUCGCCUCGUAGCGUAUCAAAGAGAUCCUUUAGAUGCUUUGGAAAGAGAGAGAGAGAGAGAGAGAGAGAGAGAGAGAAAGAGAGAGAGAAAAAGAAAGAGGGAGAGAGGGGGGUAGAGAGAAAGAAAGAGAGACCACACGAGCUGCCACUUGAGAGGAAUCACGGUAUUCGCUUGAUCCUUCUUCUUCUUUCUUCUUCUUUUCUUUGUACUCUCGUGUUUGGGAUCGAAGGCCACUCGUAUCACCAUCUCUCGGCCGAUCAUCGCGAUUUUCUUCUUCCUUUCGCGAGCUCGUCGCUGCUGUCUAUUCCAUUCUCUCUCUCUCUCUCUCUCUCUCUCUCUCUCUCUCUCUCUCUAUCUAUCUCUCUCUCUCUCUUUCUCUCUUUCUCUCUCUAUCUCUCAUAGCAGCCCCUCCGUCAGCCUCCGGAUAUCGCUCGGGACAGGGUCUUUGUACCGUAAUAGCAGGAAGACGAUAAUCGCCGUGAAUACCACGAAUCGUCAGCAAUCGACGCGGAUGCUUUCCUAAGCCCACACGCGUGUAAGGGAGCUACCUAGAUACCAAAGUCUCUCUAUCUCUCAUUCUCGCGAUUUCACUUAGUUUCGAGUACCUGUCUGGACCAGUUCGCUCUUCAUCAAACUAAAUUUCCUUUCCUCUAUAUGUUACAGUUAUUUUUCUUCUCCAUGAACAAACGAGUCGUGCACACGAGUACAUACGAAAGACUCCUCCCUCUUCCGUUCGCGUGACUCUCUCUCACUCUCUGUCUCUAAUAGAAUAUCCUGCUUCUCUUGCUUUAUUAAUAAUUAUAUGAGCUCUUACGAGAUUAUCGCAGCAACUUGACGAUUCUUGACGGUAAAAACGUGCGAUCAUUAUACCUCGUGUUAAACGCUCCUUUUACCAACGUCACCAUUGUGUCCAAAUGAAACAAUGGCAAACUACUACUUGCUACUUUUUAGUCGAGCUUUGAACAAAAUGAACUAAAGUCAGACGGCAUAGUCCAGCUAAAGCUUAGAAUAGAAGUCGCUCGUUCGCGUGGUUGACGCACGUUCUCGACUGGUAAUAAACGACGCCUUCGCCGUUUUCUGUUAUCUUGGUUGUGGCAUCUGUGUUUUCCACUGACGAGACGGUCCCUGUCGGCAUUAGUCACACCAACGCCUCCUUUUUUAUAGAUCCAAAAUUUCAAUCUUUUAUCUGUCUUUUAACUAAAAAAAAAAAAAAAAAAAAAAAAGAGAAGAAAAAAGAGAAAAGAAAAAAGAAAAAAGAAAAAUUAGAAAAAAUCUUCUCUGAUUAAUGCAAAAAUUCUCGAUGUCGUUUAGCGAGUUCGAGGAAAGUUUGCGGCGAGGCUUGACGUAGAAAAGAAGAAAACUUUUGCAUGUCUUUUGAGACUUUGAAAGUACACGAGUUCCACGGUAAGCCGACGUCGUAAAAUGCUAAGACGAAGAAAAGUCGUGAAAAUUUUCUCGUGGAAAUCCGCUUACGAUCGACUGAUAAUUAAUUUCCAUAGGAAUGAGAGAGGUAAAAUCUUGUAGAAACAAAAAUGCAUUAUAUAUAGGCGAGUAUCGACUCGUACGUAAGAACGGUACGCAUAUCUGCUUUGAAGCUGGACUUUUCGCUUCGUCUGCCAAUCUUCCUCCAGCAUUAUGGUUUACAUCAUUCCUCCUUUCCUCACCUCCGUGAGUGCUAUUAAAAGGGAACUACAUACUCUGGCACUCUCUCGUGGAACUGAUGCGUUGCAACGGGAGCCACGAUGCUUUAAGUGGGUGGUACAGACGGCUCCGAACGAGUACUUUGUGCAAGCAUGUUGGAAUUGGUUGAAGCCCAUUAUGUAUACGACUAUGUAAAAUGUUAUACAUUUAUUUACAUGUACACGUAAAUAUGAUAUAAUAUAACUGAGCCCUAACAUCGUUGUCGCGUGUAUUUCCAUAAUUUGUAAAGAUAUUCUGAAUUUGUAUACAAAAAAGGAAAAAAAAAAAAUAAGAAAAAUGAGUCCACAAUUUCAUAAUAUAUAGAGGUAGAUACAUAGAGGAAUUGUUUCUACGAAGAAAAAACGUCAAACCUGCUUCUCUCUGACAGGUCGACAGCGCUACAACAGACCGGUCCCAACAGGUUUUGGUCUACAACUCUGUGGAAAAUGUGCUGUGACCUAGAUUCCAGGAUUUACAGGCUUGGAACCAUAGAUCCUAUGACUCGAUGGCCUUCGAAUCGAAUGAAAGAAGAAUCGUCGAUUCCCUUAUGCAAUAGAAAUUAUGGAUAUAAGGAAAUCUUACAAGUACGACAAAUGGUACGAGUCUUUACUAGUAUCAGAGAAAAGCAAUGGGGAGAGCGUCGAAAGAAUCUGUGUCUAUGUCUUUACAGCCGUAGUAAUGCCGCAUGACAUCACGCUCUUAAUUACCUCGCCUCUUUUUUUCUAUUGCUUUAACCGAAGCCGUCUAAACACGGCUGCCCACGUUAUCGCUCGUUCAUUCAACGCUCGAAAAUUUUCUAAACUGUUUGCUCAAUCAUUGCUUUCAUUCUCUUAUCGAGUUAGACUAUCGAACAAUCGGUAAAACAUAUACACAUUUUAUCUGGGGAAUGUUUCAGAGAUCGAUAUUGUAAGAUUUGUUACCGUACUCCCAAAGCACCAGAGUAAUUUCUUUUCUAGCCGGGAUUGUUCACGGAUAUUCACAAUAGGUAGGAAAAAUCCAGGACGACAUCGAAUCGUGUCACGUAUCGAACGCGUUAUAUCCCGAACGCUUGGAUAUAUACUCGUAAUAUAUUUGUGGUU